AAUGCUCUAACCUUCAGAUGGCUUCUGCUCCACAUAGCACACCCAUGCACAAAAGCUGCCCAUUCCUGUAAACUGGAGACAGAAACAGGCGCGAGAUAAUUAUGACGACCAAGAAGCUUUGUGCAGAGACGGCUAAAUCUGGGGCAAACCCAAAGCUUAUAAACAAGAGUCCCAUGGACGUAGCUAGCCUUUGGGCUGGAGCUUCAGCCCAGCUCUGAAUUCAAGACAGCGCUCCUGUGAUCUAACAUGUCGAAGCAAUCUUCUCCUGCAGUCUUCCUAUUUGAUAAUCUGGGAUCUGUGGGAGUCUCUACUUCAUAAUCCAUAUAUCUUGUGACCCUCUGGAAGCCAGACAACUAUUUCAUGCUCGGAUGGUUCCUUGCUCAUCUUUGUCCGUGCAAGAAGAGCAUGUCCUGACUGGCACAGGAGUAGCUCGUAUUUCCAUCACACCAAGACAGUGAUUAAAUGUCUUCAGCCCAGCACAAGGCAACUUCAACUGGGUUUCUUCUUUAGGGACUGGGAGGACUGGGAAUGAGGCCAGAGAAAGCUGCAGGAGACUCCAGCCGCCAGAGGCUGGAAAACGAUGCUUAGAGGGCAUAACUGUAUUCAUUCUUAUAAUAUUCACAGAGCAUCACAUUACAGGGGAAAAGAGUCAGGAGGAGCCUCCAGGCUGCUUCUGCAUCCUGAGGACAAACUUCUCCAAGCUGCUGGCUACUUAACACGAACCCAUCCUGCCUGCACUUGCAGCAAGGCAGCUCCGUGCAAAACUACGCCUUGCUUUAGCCCUUCGGUCUGCACCUGCAGCCAGCGAGCAGGACAGGGAGACGAGGUCCUGCCUGGGGGCGUGUGGCUGCUCCGCACCCUCCCGCAGCAUCCCCAGCCCGUUACCCUGAGCAGGGACCACCAGCAGUGCCAUCUGCGCCUGCUCCAGCGAGUACUGGUGGCAAAUCAAUGCCACCGCGGGGUCACGAGAGCCACAGGAACCUUCAACGCAGGGGCAAGGUGAAAAGCAGACCCCAGGAAUGAGCACCCCCGCCGGCAGGGUACUGGGGAUUAGGAAAACCACAUCAUGACAGCAUCCCGCUCGCCCCGGUGAUGGGGUGGCCACCGUGGGUGGCAAAUGUCACGGGGGCUGCGUAGGACCUUUCCAGACCCUCUUUGCUGGCUGCAGCCCCACCAGCCAAACCCCCCCAACUGUCACCACGCAUCCCACUGCACGUCCCCCUGCUCUGCGGGCUCGUAGGUGGCUGCACAGCCCAGCCUUGGGUUCAGUGGCCGUGCUGAUUGAGCAUCCAGCUCUGGGUAACGCCGCAGCCGCCGGUGGCUUACUCAGCACGACUUAAUCUGCUCUAACUUUGAAACGCUCCGGGGCGAGGAGGACACGGGCAGUCCAUUUCCACAGGAACGUUGCCCUUUAUGUCCAGACAUCAGCUGGUAUCGAAGGUAUCAUGGCAGAGCACGGGGGGGUCGGAGCUCGCGGUACAGACGGGGCAAAAUGGGCGCGAACAGAGCCAGCCACACGAUCACCAGAUCCGCCUCAACCUUCCCAAAGCAGCGGUGAAUCUCACACCCGCUAAUGGCAUCCGCGGCCGGGCAGGGGUCUGGAUUCACCAUUUGCUCAGUUAUCUUCUGCGCCAAGAUACAGAGAUGAUCUAACUGCUGAAACUCAUUUAUGGGUCCCCUGUACCAGCGUGGUGCCACAAACACCUACCUUGUGAGCAUCUGUGUGGCAAAACCAUCGCUACCAAGUGGCAUCUCUUGUGGCUAUUUGCUGAUCACUCCAUCCCUGCUAAAUCUGGAUCAUGGAAACACAAGCAGGAAAAAUAGGUCUUUGAAACAAUUCGAAAGCACCAGAGCUGCAAUAAAUACAAAAGGCGGCUCAGACUCCUAAGGGAUCUUCCGUUAAUUGACUACUGUCUCAGCCCAAAGCACACAAAGACCAUAAGACCCUUUCCAAAGGUUCAGCAGGUUUUGGACCCCAACACCAAGUAACCAGGUAACGGCUGAAGACCUUUUCUUCCUGGCAGACCGGGACGUUUAUGCACAUAACAGAGAUAACCACCUCAGCACUACUGUCAGUUGGUUUUGGGGGGAUGUACCCUGUUGAUGAGCGCAAGACACGCUCUUGUGAACGGUGCGAAUCCCUGCAAGGCUGCUCUGAGUUUCCUCCACUGGGUCACCAAUCUCUGGUGAAAAAACAAACAAACAAACAAUUUAAAUCAGCACAGCAAAUUAGAAUGGAGGAAAACACGCGUGCGCCCCAGCGUUUGUAACCUUUCCAGAUACUGCUCCAGCAUCACGGAGUGCUCCUUGCCACUGGCCCCAUGGGGACAGUGUGCAGGGCAGAGGCUUCUGCCUACCACUGAUUGCAAACUCCAAACUGCUGGAAAAUUUAUACCAAGAAAUCGCUCUCCAAAAUUUCCUCAGGGACACGCGACUUUUUGGCAGAGAAUUGAGUGUUGCAGCAGAGUGCCUGGGAGCCAAAAUCCCUCGACUCGGGGAUGCUGCUGGCCAGGUACGUGUGUGUCACGGGCCUUCCAGCCCAGGGACGAAGGUCUUGGGGAUGCCCCAUGCGAAGGAAAGGCUGGGCUGUGCUCCUGCACGUCCUGGCAUGGCGGUGGUUUCUGGAUCCAACUCCCACCACGCUGCUGCGCUGCACCGGGACGGGGCUCUGGCCCCUGAGCGCCCAAGGAGAAUUAAGGACACAAAGAUAGCAAACUACAGCUCCCAGGGGAUCCAUGCCAAAAGGUUAAAGGAUUUUAGCUUUAUCUGGAUUUUUUACUGGUGGAUUUUCAACGGAAAGAGCCUGCUUUUCUAUUCUGCACGUUCCUCCACUCAACAGCCCAAUUUCCUGCUGACAAAGAAAUUCAUUAGGAAACUUUCAAGCCGAUCCCAACCAUGGCAGCUAGUUGAAACUGCUCAAAUCCUCUCCAGAAAACCUUCUUACAAUACAUCCAGCUCCCUUUGCAUCCCCCUGGUAACUGAUUUGAACUCGUAAUGACCUAUGAGCUGCCUGCCUGCUUAAUCUGGCUCCAGCGCUCCCCAUACCUGUCAUGGCAGAAAUAUAUUCUUGCAAAUUUAUUUCCGAGCAGUAUUUCUGUACCAAAGUAGUCUCUCUCAGCCACCCUCUUUCAUGCAAUAAUUGUAGGAGAAUUUGCAAAGCUGAAAAAACCUUUCCCCAUUGAUUGCUCUUCCCAUGCGAAGCGGGCAGGAGUAGGAAAGGAGGGAUUCAAGCAGAGAGCAUCCACUGCUACAGGGGGUCGGGUGACGUGCCGGUGUGCCGGACCCGGCAAGACACGGAGAAGCAGCAGGAGAUCCAGCCCGGCUGUGAGGAUGAGGAGACAUAACCGGCCACGCUCAAGCCCAAAGGACUGUGCGGUGGCUCAUUAGCCAAAGAAGAAAGGGCUAAUUUUAGAACGGGUGGCAAUUAAAAAGCAUUGUAUUAUCCUUCCUGUGCUAAAACAGGCUGUCAAAAUCUUUGGGUAAAACAGCAGUUAAAUGAGGGGCUGACGGAGAGUUACAAUAAAGAAAGACAAUGGCA